AAAUAAAACAAAAUUCUGUAUCAAUAUGAUACAUAUAAGAAAAGAAAACAUAGUAAAUACAUAAAAUAAAUAAUAUAUAAGAAAUCAAUAUAAAAUAUAAUACAAAAGUAGCUGUGGUAUGAGAAAAGCAUAUAUAACUUUGAAGAUUAUGUAGAUAUUCAAAACUGUGGUUCUCCACUUGUGUAUUUUAUAUCCUUAGGGAAUCCAGUUCGAUCUACACAAACAAACAUUUAGUCUGAAUGUCAGUGGAUUAUCAGGCGAGUUGUAAAGUGAUAAGGAGACGAUCGCAACUAACAUCCUCAGCUACACAAUCUGGGGACGAUAAGGUUCAGAUAAACAUGAUGUUUGGUUUGCUUAGCGACUUGAAUUUUCUGCAUUCUCAAGGAGUUAAGACACGAAAACAGGAUAGAACACUUCUAUUCUUUGAUUGGAUAGAAAAUAUCAUAUACCCUAUCGUCCAUACAUUUUUGAAUGCAAAUUUCAGUCUAAUAAUAGUAAAGAAACGUGAAGAAAUCCCAUAAUCGUUGCAUAUAUCAUUUUCAAUGUUCAAAUAAAUUUAAUUUUUAAAUUUAACUUUUCAAUAG
rnacentral:lncRNA from 1 species